UCUCUAAUGCUUGGAUUCCUAUUUAUCUACUCUCUCAUUGUUUUUGGCAUUUUUCUCUUAGUUUCCCUUAAAAAUAUUAUUACAGAAAAUAAAGAUACCCUAUUCAUCUCUUCCUUAAAUGUGUUUCAUUAAUUUCUUUCCUUAUUUAAUAUUAAUAUCCAAUUUGCUUUCACUAUCCUUCUUUUUUUAAAAUUCCUCAUUAUUACUAUUGUUUAAGAGUAAUUACUCCUUUAUUUGCAAAAAUUCCUCAUUAUUACUAUUGUUCCGUUUCACAUGUUUAAGAGUAACUACUCCUUUAUUUUCCUUAUUUGUGCUACCAUGAUCCUUUCCCAUUAAUUCUCAUAGCUUUAUCAACUGUAUUUAAAUUUAAUUACAGCAGCCUAUAAAAUUAGUGGCUCUCACACAUCCCUCCUACUUCUUUACUGGCUUUAUUUUUUGAGUUUAUACCUAUGGGAUAGUGAAGUUAAGAUAGAUCAUAUGAUCAAUUUCAUGCCUCUGAUUUUUCAUUUUGUUUUCUUUCUAUGCAUACACAAAUACAAAUCUUUUUCUUUCUUUCUACGAGAAAAAAAAAAAAAACAGAACAUGAUAAUGGAAGAAAAUUGCAAGAAAGAGAGGUCACCGUGCUACAUGGAGCUCUUGGACUUUAUCUGCUUGAAGGUGGUAGUAGCUGCUAUUUCAUUUAAUACAAAGAAAGAAAUUGAAGAGAAAAUAGAGAACCAUACCAAUUAGUGAGGCAUCACGAAAGGCAACAGCCAAGAUGAAGGAAGCUGGCAUUUCUGACAUAUUAAACAGAAUUUGUAUCCUUUGUUGAAUUUUUUCCGUUCCAGGAUUUUUCCGUGCUGAAACAAAGAUUCUGUAUAUUAAACAUAUAUGAAUAUGGUCCCUCCUACUAUUUAUUACUGAAAGAAAGGUAUCAGGAGUUGCCAGGGGCGUAUUUAGGACGAACGUGCUCAAUAGCUAAACCGGUGCUUGUGGUCCGAAUUAUGUAUGCAUCCACAAAAAGAAUUUUGAAAUAUAUACACAUAAUAAGAUCACGCUCAUAAUGGA